GCGGGCGUGGCGAAAUUGGUAGACGCAUUAGACUUAGGAUCUAAUGUCGCAAGACGUGGGGGUUCGAGUCCCUUCGCCCGUA
rnacentral:tRNA from 1 species